rnacentral:rRNA from 1 species
AUUGAACGCUGGCGGCAUGCCUUACACAUGCAAGUCGAACGGUAACGCGGGGCAACCUGGCGACGAGUGGCGAACGGGUGAGUAAUACAUCGGAACGUGCCCAGUAGUGGGGGAUAGCCCGGCGAAAGCCGGAUUAAUACCGCAUACGACCUACGGGUGAAAGCGGGGGAUCGCAAGACCUCGCGCUAUUGGAGCGGCCGAUGUCAGAUUAGCUAGUUGGUGGGGUAAAAGCCUACCAAGGCGACGAUCUGUAGCUGGUCUGAGAGGACGACCAGCCACACUGGGACUGAGACACGGCCCAGACUCCUACGGGAGGCAGCAGUGGGGAAUUUUGGGACAAUGGGGGCAACCCUGAUCCAGCCAUGCCGCGUGC